rnacentral:rRNA from 1 species
CCUACGGGUGGCAGCAGUGAGGAAUAUUGGUCAAUGGGCGCGAGCCUGAACCAGCCAAGUCGCGUGAGGGAAGACGGUCCUAUGGAUUGUAAACCUCUUUUGUCGGGGAGCAAAAGACGCCACGCGUGGCGUUCUGAGCGUACCCUAAGAAAAAGCAUCGGCUAACUCCGGGCCAGCAGCCGCGGUAAUACGGGGGAUGCGAGGGUUAUCCGGAUUUAUUGGGUUUAAAGGGGGCGGAGGCGGGAUUUCAAGGCAGCGGUAAAAUUGAGGGGCUCAACCCCUUCCAGCCGUUGAAACUGGUUUUCUUGAGUGAGUGAGAAGUAGGCGGAAUGCGUGGUGUAGCGGUGAAAUGCAUAGAUAUCACGCAGAACUCCGAUUGCGAAGGCAGCAUACCGGCGCUCAACUGACGCUCAUGCACGAAAGUGUGGGUAUCGAACAGGAUUAGAUACCCUGGUAGUC